rnacentral:lncRNA from 1 species
UUCCUAACAUGGGGCUGUUUUCAAAUUCAAAAUCCGUGGCCGUUCGCCUGGCCUUCGCUAGGCGAGGCAGAAGCGAACGAGACAGUACCUGAUUUUUCUAGUCUGUUUUUUUUAUGUUUUUAUCAUAGUCAUGCAUUAUUCAUCCUAUCCUAUUUAUUAUUGUGAUAUUUCUCCGGUGUAAUCUUCGAUUGCACCCUGAUUUGGUGUUCUGACAUGUUUCUUUUUUUGAGUUUCGUAAAGGUUCACAUAUCCCAGGAAAAGGUUAUUGGCUAGGUAUUCCACUUUAUUUGUGGGAUACCCUUGUGGAGUUUCACCCUAAAUUAAUUUUU